rnacentral:rRNA from 1 species
GACGAACGCUGGCGGCGUGCCUAAUACAUGCAAGUCGAACGCAUUUUCUUUCACCGUAGCUUGCUACACCGAAAGAAAAUGAGUGGCGAACGGGUGAGUAACACGUGGGUAACCUGCCCAUCAGCGGGGGAUAACACUUGGAAACAGGUGCUAAUACUGCAUAAUUCCAUUUACCGCAUGGUAAAUGGAUGAAAGGCGCUUUUGCGUCACUGAUGGCUGGACCCGCGGUGCAUUAGCUAGUUGGUGGGGUCAAGGCCUACCAAGGCUGCGAUGCAUAGCCGACCUGAGAGGGUGAUCGGCCACACUGGGACUGGAGCACGGCCCAAGCUCCUACGGGAGGCAGCAGGAAGGAAUCUUCGGCAAAGGACGCAAGGCUGAACGGGCAACGCCGCGGGAGUGAAGGAAGGUUUCGGAUCGUAAAACUCUGUUGUUAGGGAAGGACAAGGAUGAGAGUGGAAAGUGCAUCCCUUGACGGUAUCUAACCAGAAAGCCACGGCUAACUACGUG